AGCAGCAGCCACGGUAAUACGUAGGUGGCAAGCGUUGUCCGGAAUUAUUGGGCGUAAAGGGCUCGCAGGCGGUUUCUUAAGUCUGAUGUGAAAGCCCCCGGCUCAACCGGGGAGGGUCAUUGGAAACUGGGAAACUUGAGUGCAGAAGAGAAGAGUGGAAUUCCACGUGUAGCGGUGAAAUGCGUAGAGAUGUGGAGGAACACCAGUGGCGAAGGCGACUCUCUGGUCUGUAACUGACGCUGAGGAGCGAAAGCGUGGGGAGCGAACAGGAUUAGAUACCCCUGUAGUCCCUGUCUCUUAUAC
rnacentral:rRNA from 1 species